AGCGAACGCUGGCGGCAGGCUUAACACAUGCAAGUCGAACGGGCGUAGCAAUACGUCAGUGGCAGACGGGUGAGUAACGCGUGGGAACGUACCUUUUGGUUCGGAACAACCCAGGGAAACUUGGGCUAAUACCGGAUAAGCCCUUACGGGGAAAGAUUUAUCGCCGAAAGAUCGGCCCGCGUCUGAUUAGCUAGUUGGUGUGGUAACGGCGCACCAAGGCGACGAUCAGUAGCUGGUCUGAGAGGAUGAUCAGCCACAUUGGGACUGAGACACGGCCCAAACUCCUACGGGAGGCAGCAGUGGGGAAUAUUGGACAAUGGGCGCAAGCCUGAUCCAGCCAUGCCGCGUGAGUGAUGAAGGCCCUAGGGUUGUAAAGCUCUUUUGUGCGGGAAGAUAAUGACGGUACCGCAAGAAUAAGCCCCGGCUAAC
rnacentral:rRNA from 1 species